UAAACUCGACAUUGACUCCACGGAGACUG
rnacentral:sRNA from 1 species